rnacentral:rRNA from 1 species
UACGAAGGGGGCUAGCGUUGUUCGGAUUUACUGGGCGUAAAGCGCACGUAGGCGGAUUGGUCAGUUAGGGGUGAAAUCCCAGAGCUCAACUCUGGAACUGCCCUUAAUACUGCCAGUCUAGAGUCCGGAAGAGGUAAGUGGAACUCCUAGUGUAGAGGUGGAAUUCGUAGAUAUUAGGAAGAACACCAGUGGCGAAGGCGGCUUACUGGUCCGGUACUGACGCUGAGGUGCGAAAGCGUGGGGAGCAAACAGG